rnacentral:tRNA from 3 species
GAAAAAGUUUGCAAGAACUGCUAAUUCCUGCCCCCGCGCAUAACAACGCGGCUUUUUCUC